rnacentral:lncRNA from 1 species
AUGAUAGUUAAGUGUCAUUAGUGGCUUUUCAUGACUAGUCAUAUUCAUAGCCACAGAGAUCAAUGAUGUUGAUGACUGUGGCCCUACUUGGGAGCCGGGUGCUCUUGCACGCAUGUGCUGCCUAUCACCUCAUCUAAUCUUCAUGGCAUUCCUGCUCUUAGAGCCUAAGAGUAAGUUGUCAUCGAUGCCCAGCCAAUAGGCAGAACAGAUGCAAAAUUGCCACCCUUAGAGGCUGGUUCUGCAGCCUCACUGUGUUCUACAGCAUUUGCGAUUUCCACUAGGAAAUAGAGAUGAAUCUCUAUAGUCAUGCAGGAUUAGCCACCAAAUUAUGAGACAUGGUUUAGAUACAUCACAAUUGUAUAUCGUAUACUUCUUUUAAUUUCAGUAACUCAAAAGGGCACAUUGAUGAAUACUGUGUUGGGUACUCAUUUUUCAUUUAUUUUAAUUAGAAGUUCCUAGUGUGUUUAUGAACAUAAGUAUACUAAUAAAUUCUGUGUUCUGAUUAUGUCCUAAUUUGAGGCACUUCAAAAGUUCUGUUGGAAUUAAGUGAAGUGUUUGUAGUCUGCACUUUAUUGUGUACCUUAAUUUACUUCUCAAGAACAUGCUUGCUUGUGGAUAUAUGCAUGUUAAAAUUCUUAAUUUUGAAAAUUAGCCAGAAAUAUGUAAAAAUGUUGCAAUCCUAAUUUAAUAGUAAAGAAAGCAAUAUUUUUUCAAAAUCAACAAUCUAAUGAGCAGCAUGAACCAUGGCUACAGCAUCUGGUUUACAGUUUAAUUUUCUCCCAGUGGGAAUAUUUUGUGUACAGUAUAUGAUGCAGUGUACAGUGUAUGAUGCCGUGUACAGUAUAUGAUCCUGUGCACUUUACCUAUAGUUUAUAAUAAGCAGGAUCUAUAGCUCGACACUGUACUCAGUUUGCAUGUCCAUUUUGAAUUCCCUGACUAUUUUUCCUGCUGACCUUUACCUGGAGCAGACACUGGUGUCUGCGUGCUCAGGCUCCAGUAGCCUUUACUGGGAAAGCUCAUGGGAUAUGGCAGAUAUUGUGGUUCAGGACAGCCAGGACUGCACAGAGGAACCCUGUCUCGAAAGACCAAAGCGGGGAAAGUCACAAGAAAAGAAAAGUAAAAUCGUUCUGUUUUAACCACUCCCCAUAAAGCGCAGGAAGCGCAUUGCUGCCCUCUUGUUUUCAUAGCCUUUGACUAGCAGUGAACUCAUUUGUCCCAUAGUGAGUCUUCCUUAUGUUUGCUGUAUGGGGUACAGAGGCCAGCACAGGUAGGUAUAAGGGGAAGCCAGGCACUGAUUGCAGAGGGGCUAUGGAGGGCAGCGUUUGGUACCAGAUUACAGUAGUUUUGGAUUUUACAGGAUCAUCAGU